UACGUAGGGUGCAAGCGUUGUCCGGAAUUAUUGGGCGUAAAGAGCUCGUAGGCGGUUUGUCGCGUCGGGUGUGAAAACCUGGGGCUCAACCCCGGGCCUGCAGCCGAUACGGGCAAACUAGAAUUCGGUAGGGGAGACUGGAAUUCCUGGUGUAGCGGUGAAAUGCGCAGAUAUCAGGAGGAACACCGAUGGCGAAGGCAGCCUCCUGGGCCAACACUGACGCUCAUGCACGAAAGCGUGGGGAGCAAACAGG
rnacentral:rRNA from 1 species